GACGAACGCUGGCGGCGUGCUUAACACAUGCAAGUCGAACGGAAAGGCCCUGCUUUUGUGGGGUGCUCGAGUGGCGAACGGGUGAGUAACACGUGAGUAACCUGCCCUUGACUUUGGGAUAACUUCAGGAAACUGGGGCUAAUACCGGAUAGGAGCUCCUGCUGCAUGGUGGGGGUUGGAAAGUUUCGGCGGUUGGGGAUGGACUCGCGGCUUAUCAGCUUGUUGGUGGGGUAGUGGCUUACCAAGGCUUUGACGGGUAGCCGGCCUGAGAGGGUGACCGGCAACAUUGGGACUGAGAUACGGCCCAGACUCCUACGGGAGGCAGCAGUGGGGAAUAUGGCACAAUGGGCGGAAGCCGGAGGAAGAAACGCGGCGUGGGGGAUGACGGCCUUGGGGUGGUAAACCGCUUUGGCCGGGGACGAAGCGGGAGUGACGGUAAGGGGUAAAGAAGAACCGGCUAACUACGU
rnacentral:rRNA from 1 species